rnacentral:tRNA from 1 species
GCCUUUGUGGUGUAGUGGUCCGCACACUCGACUCAUAUUCGAGAGGUCCGUGGUUCGAAUCCCGCAGAGGGCA